UACGAAGGGGGCUAGCGUUGUUCGGAAUCACUGGGCGUAAAGGGCGCGUAGGCGGCCGAUCAAGUCGGGGGUGAAAGCCUGUGGCUCAACCACAGAAUGGCCUUCGAUACUGGUUGGCUCGAGACCGGAAGAGGUGAGUGGAACUGCGAGUGUAGAGGUGAAAUUCGUAGAUAUUCGCAAGAACACCAGUGGCGAAGGCGGCUCACUGGUCCGGUUCUGACGCUGAGGCGCGAAGGCGUGGGGAGCGAACGGG
rnacentral:rRNA from 1 species